CAAUAACUCUCUACGAUCGAGUCAUAUCUUUGUUUCUAGUACGGUAUGUCUAGAGCAUGUUUCUAUCCUGACCGAUGCAUGACAGUGGAAGUGUACAAAACCAAGCGUAAUCGGAAAGGAAUGUCCACACAGCGACAUUGACCAAGGCUUCUCUUCUGUCUUCGGGGUAUAAAAGGCGAAACACAUACGAGUCGUAAAUCUCAAUUCAGACCUUUGGUGCCUGUCGCCACAUCAGAACCAGCGAGACCGAGCUACUUUUUGAGAGGAAAUGGCUUCUUAUUACGUUGUAGACAAUAGUGCCGAAAUUGCAAAUUCGGAGGCAAUGGACGCUGCCCGAAGCUUCACAGUACACAAUCCUUAUGUUCCAAAUGAUGUAGAGGUCUACCACGCGAAUGACUCAGCUAUUCCAGACGGUCAAGGUGAACAGGUUUAUGUUAUGUCCGCGGACACGUCCCGGAUGGACCCUGAAGUUGCACAGCUUGAUCAAAGGGCUGAAAACUCCGCCAGCGGGCAAGUUCAAACUCUCUUAUUGGAUACUGGGACACCUUGGUUCGGAGAUGUAACCCAUAGCGCAAAUAGUGAUGUGCAAGCCCAAACCGUCAUCAAUCAUGAGGCUACGAAUGCUUACUCAAGUGGAUCAAGUGGUGCAACUCCCUCUCAGCAGAAACGCUUCGCUAGUAACUCUGGAUACUGAUGCUGUGCAUGAACGUGCCAGAAGAAUAUGUACGGUUCAAAUUUUCUGCGUUUUUUCUCUCAUUCCAGUGUGAGGAUUUUGCUGAUCUUUUCUUGAUGGUGUUUUUUAGGCUCCUUUCCUAAUAGUUUUAGUUAGUACUGGGCGGUCUGUCAACUGAAUUGCCAACAACAGGCAUGGACAUUAUAGUUAAUACCAUCUUAGUUCUUUCUUUGUUGUUAUCUGGGUAUGCACAGUUCACUUAAUUUUACCAUUCCUUCUCAUUCUAUUUUGGCUUGUGUACUCCAUGUACAUAGCACUGGUGCACAGAGAGCUGCCACACAAUCAACAAGCUCAUGAUCCUAAUCAAAUCGUUCUGUCUCAGUGUAAAGAAUCUAUUGGAUGGUUGAUCUGGACCCACUCCUGUUACGAAGUGUGUGACACGGACAAUAGUGACAGUCUAGCCGCUUGGGGUUCACUGGACAUCAGGCCAUGACAGCAUAUGUAGACAAACAGUGCAUUGAUCUGUGAAUGUGCUUGUGGAGCAGGACAGUGUGUUUGGCUUCGAGCCACUUUCACGUGCAGUGCGUGUAUCAGACAUACUCAAAUCACAAGCGAACAGGAAUAUUUCAUGAAUAGCUGGACAUGGAAAGCCGUGUUGCUGGGGCAAAUCUACAAAAGCGGCUGCUACUCCGUUCUCCUGGUGGUCUUACUAGCUUGAUCUAACUUGACAGUUAUAAGUAGCUUGCUCCUCAACCUCAACAAAGUAACAAACCCAGUUUCAAAUGGCAACCUCAAUAGAAUACUCCUACAGCUCAGCUUUGUCUGAAACAACAGCAUGCGCGGCGAUGAAUGCACUCCUGACCUGCAAUAGCAAUGGCUUCAUGUCCGAAGAUCUAGCCUUUAGAAAGGAACCAGUUUGGCACAACACCCUUUCAAAGAAGGUCUUCAUCGUACGCUCCUCAGAGACUCGCAUAGACACUGAAAACACACUCAUCUCCAACUAUGCUGCCAACUCCUAUGGCAAACGUGCCAUCGCUAUUGUGAUCGACGACGAUGUACCCUCGUGUUGCGGGCUCGCAUCAGGCUACGUCACACAAGACAGAAAAUUCUCCGGACUGCGCCGUGCCAACUUCGACAUCUACACGGUCACAGAGCGAUACAAGACAACAUGCUACCAGAGAAUGAAGGCGGCUCGGUCAGUCGGCCAGUUUACGUGCUGUUAAAGAACGUGCUUCUGAGCAGCAGGGUAUGACUCUCACAUCAUACACAGGAUAAUAGCAUUGGUUCUGUGCUUUCUUUAUAGUCCACAUGCAUGCAUAUGUGAAGCACUAUUCCUCACUAGCGUGGAUUCAUGACCAGAUGUUUGCAUUGACAACUGCCAUUCGUUCUUUUUUUCUGUUUGUACACGCACAAUGCCUUUCCUUCACUUGCCUGAUAUGCUGUUUCGCCUUAGUGUGUGCAUGCAAAUUGACUGAAAACUCCCGUCUCAACUAAUCUCCUCCAUGACUAAAAAGAUACAGGCGUGACUGCAAGUUUACUGCAGAGCUGUCCCUUGUCAUCGAGAUGCUGUCGGAGAUAGAUAGGAUUGAUUAGGGACUGCACUCUCCAAGGCUGCCCUACCGUGAUCUGAGGGCUAGCAUGGCAGAGCCUUCAGUCGCGCAUCUGCCGCGUCCCUGUAGGCAUUUCUGCGGUCGGGCAAAGUGCGUCCUACGUGUCAAAUGCGCGAAAAGGCGAGCUACGCAUGCAAUAGGCAUGCUGCAGGGCUAGUUCACGUACAUCAUAGCCUCGAGAGUUUUGCUGACUGCAGCUCACCAGCACGUUGUGCAUCAGCUCUGGGGUUCACAUUGGCUUUCGCUCGACACACUGCUCGAAGAAAUUAUCAAUGCAAUGCAAGAGCAUGUGCAUCGAGUGACCGAGAUGAAAUGAAGCUACCUACAUGAUCUAGACCAGCAAGAGCAAAGUACAUCCAGUAAGCUCGUUUUAAAAAGGCGACUUCGAGGAUGGCAACUGCGGUCGUGUACAAAAAGGUCGGCUCAGUAUCAGUUAAGGAGGCCAGACAGGCGUUGACCGAUCUCUUUGAGGAUAAUCCGUACUUAGAAAGAAGUCUUGGCAUACACGCAUUGUCUGUGAAGGCAUACCCUCAGAAGGAUAACCGUGUAUUGAGAGUAUUUGUUGUCACCGAGACCGAUGUCAAACUUGACCAAGAAACAGCUCUGGUUGAAGACUUCCCUGAAAAUUCCUCCGAUGGAAAGGCACUAGCCAUUGUGCUUCACAGCACCAGCCCCCGAUUCGGGUUGGCUAGCGCGUCCGUUUGGAGAAAGAGGGGAUCGCCACAUCUCCGACGUCUCUUCAAAACUUUCAAUGUGUUUUCUUUUAAAACAAGACACGAUAUUACUUCUCCUGCCACACGAUAUCAGCUUAGAGAGGCUGCCAAAUUUGCUGGUUUGUACAGGCGGAGAUGGCGCAGAUAACCGAGCCACGCAAAGCUGGGUGCUCUGUUUUCCCUGUAACCUUUUGAAGCACGUAACACAUCUGCAUUUCCAACUGUGUGAAGAUUACAUAUUCGGACAUGGUUUUGUUCUCUUUGUCUUCCCAACAAUGCAACAGCACUGGUAUACACCUCAAGCUGGCAUUUUCAGUUGAGCUAUGAUGCUUCUUGUACUAAAAUCAAUAUCAUCAAUAGUCCUGCAUGUGACUUUGAACGGGAUGGCAGUGUCUGCUCUAGGAUUGUAGGACAGCCGGGUACACGUGUACCUUGCGCAACCAUUUCAACCGCGUCGGAGCCGGGUACACAUGUAUUCGACGCGCGCCUCUGCAUGAUCUGUCACACAUACAAGCCAUGUAGUCAGUCCUUUCAAAGUUCGAACGUGUAAAGUACCAACCGGGUCACCUGUGACCCGGUACUAUAUUUUCAAUUGGGUCCAAGCGCUGCCCAACCGGGUCGAUUACCCGGCUCACCCGGCUCUGGAGCAGACACUGGAUCGUAAUAACACCACUGGUCAGUAUUGACAUGCUUACACACCCUAAUACCAUUGGCUAGUGUGGCUACUUUACUGUGCGUGUAAACAAGUGAUGGCACCCGAAUAUGCGUACCAUAAUUGCCCAUUUCUGCUACACUCUUUCUGUCAACCUUGAUCUCCUUGAGUCUGGCAACUAGAAAGAGUCCAACACAAAGACUGCAAGGCUGUCAAAUAGCAUUGAGGUGCUGACAGAGCAUGAUGGAAUUGAUAAGAUGCACAGAAAGGUUGACACAGAGCACGCUGGCGACCCCUGCCAAAUCAUUGGCUGUGCAGAGUUACAUCCCUGUCGGGGAUUCCAGUGGUCAGACGACGGUUGCGCCAUGCAUGGCAAUGUUCAAGUAGGCGAGCUGUGCGCUUGUUCAGCAGGACUGUGGGCUCCUUCACGCACGUCAUACACAGAAGCCAGGCGAGCCAUAGUCUAGAUGGGUCAGCGGCAUGUUGGCGUUAACUCGGGGAUCUCAUAUGCAAACACGGCAUGAACACCAUUCAAAAGGCGCUUUAAUCGGGUGAGAGCUUCAGCACUGGGCCAACAGGAUCAAACAGACUUUGUUGGCACAAUCACAUCUGGUUUCAUCGAACUAGACCACCAUUAAACAAAUUUCACUUGGCAGUAUUGCGACUUUUCCAAUGGCAUCCGCCGUAGUGUACAAGAAAGUUGGAUCGGUCUCAGAUGUGGAGGCACGGCAGGUGUUGACUGACUUGUUUGCAGAUAACGGAUACUUACAAGAUAGUUUGGCCAUCUAUGCCUGUUCUAGGAGCCCGUACUUUGACUACGAUGACAACGUAUUGAGAGUGUUCAUAGUAUCCGCCCUGGAUGGACGAAUUGAUCUUGAAGCAGCUGGCGUCGAAGACUAUCCCGAGUUUUCAUUCGGUGGAGAGGCAGUGGCAAUUGUGUUGCAUAGUUUGAGUCCAAUCUCUGGGGCGGCGAGCUACAUCAUCUGGCGGCGAAGAAAGUUUCAACAGCUACGACGGCUCUUCAAAGUAUUCUCCUUUGGAGUGGAUAGGGGAGACAGAGUUCAGCCUGCAACAUCACGUCAACUUAAAAGCGCAGCCAGGCUUACUGGCCGAUAUUAGAUAUGAUCUUAGAGCACAUCCAUGCACCAUUUGACUUGGUCCCUGCACAGUAGGCCAUCUUUCCACUGGUUUGUAUACAUGGAAGGAAUUGUGAUGGUGGUGACUGUGAUAUCUAUCAUUCUUCGAUUUCCUCCAACAUUUUCCUUAUCCUGUUUUUUCUCUUCACGUAUUUUACGUAUCUGCCAGCUAUAGCUUAGAUAGACUUGCUCGUUUGGACUGCUGCAGUCAAUUCAAUUGUUCACUCAGAUCCAUUCGUUAUCUUCAUUCCGGAUCUAGUAGUUUCUCACUACUAAGGCUCUGUAGUCAGACAAAUCAAUCCAACAUGGUGCUCUCUUUGCAUUUCGGUGCAUGCGAGGGUGCUCGGAGAGCCCGGACACAAAUGUUUGCAGUCGAGUGUAUCUUCCAUUUGGAAGUCGCGAAUGUAUUCCGAAACGUAUCUCACCAGCAGGAAUGAAUCUAUAAAAACUUGGUUGGAGUUGGCCAAGCACAACCAAUUGAAUCCAUCUUCUAGCGCUGGGCACCAAGGUCAUACAAAAAUGUUGGUAGAGAUUGACAGCCAGCGCACAAGAUAUAUGGCACGGUCCUAGGCGGUCGAGAGUUGCCACAUUAGGAACAUACAGCGACGGAGCGAAGGGAACUUUGAUAUGAUCUCUGCUGUCUUGGUAUGCUGCCAGAAUAGUGACAACUGAGAACAAUAAUCUAUCAGAAGGUGAGCAUGGUAGUCUAUUAGGCUCGUGGCACACGCGUGGUGAUUUGAAACCGGUUGACCUACAAUGUUGAAACUGUGGGCAUCCAAGCAAGAGAAGUGUCUUCGGGUACUUUCCCAUCUCGGCUUCGCCCAGUACCGCUGACCCUAUGGUAUUCAUUUGAGUCAAUAUAUAAUAAAGCAUGGUCAUACACGAACAAUACAAUAGUUGUCACACUCGGGGCUGACCCCGCAAACAAAUUACCUAUUUGCUUUACUUACGUAAGACGUCUUCUGACUCAUCAAAACAAUUUUAGAAGCACGGCACGAUGCAAUGAACUUGUCACGCAAGCACGGCAUGAUGUAAUGAACUUCUCUCGCAAGCACGGCCUGAUGCAAUGAACUUCUCUCUCAUGUAAGCUGAGGGCCUAAGUACUCGUAUAAGAGCUCAGGAAGACGGAGCUCCAUGAGAAGUCUUCCAUGAGCAAGCGAAGUAGAAGAAAAGAGUAAUUUGCAUCCUUCAAAAUUUCAACUAUGGCCGACGCCGUUGUCUUCAAGUGCACAGCGUCAGUCCAACGCAAGGAGGGAAAAGAGGCAUUGGAAGGAAUUUUUCAAAAUAAUCGGUUCAUGUUCUAUAACCUUCCCGUAAGGCAUGUCUCUGCACACAAUCAUAGUGGCAAUGAGAUGAAAGUCUUCGUCGUUUCCAGCAGCGAGUCCCGGAUCGACCCCGAUGCUUUUGGCGUUGAAAACUACCCAAGCACCUCGUUCGGUGCAAAUGCCAUCGCUCUGAUCCUGCAUGACCACACGCCGAGAGCUGACCUGGUAAGCUACGAUGUCCAGCAAAGCGGAAAAAAGUAUGCCCAACUUCGCGUAGACGGGUUCACGCUAAUGUCGCUAAGGGAUAGUGCAUCGCAGCCAAACGACAACCAACUGAAAACAGCUGCACGCUUAGUAGGUCUGUACCGGGCCCCGCCAAGGAGACCGUGGUAACAUUCCCGCAUGAUCAAACUCAGUGCCUGAAGUUCACGUAGGCCAAUCCUCCAACUGUUGGACACUAGUAUGCAUACUUGUCCGCAUAUCAACGCAACCCAUUUCUUAUAUUCACUAUUUUCACUUCACUUUCUAAAGUUCUAUUCCCAGGAGUUUCGAUUAUUUCACGAAUUCGAUGACAUGUUGCUUUAUAUGUCUUGAGCUGUUGUUCUUCAAUUUGGCCGCAGUACUUAUUAUACUACUUAUCAGUACGGUCAUGUUCUGUGUGCAUAACAAUUUAUGAGUACCAGUUGUGCAUAUCAAUUUCAUGCAAUGGGUUUUGAGAAAUUGAAGCUAUUCCUAAAUUACGUGAGUGUUGAAUGGUGAGGUUUGGCUUGCAAAUGAGUGUCGAAGAAAGAUGAUGCGCACAAGAGGUUGAAUGAUUGGAAUAUCUCCUGCAUGAAUAUAGCAGUGUUUCAAGAUGCACUCACCUAGCCCGAACGACAACAGACGCGCAAAUCCUCAAGCAUGUCAGCUUGAUGCAGCAAUCGUAGCAGCUGCUGCUACCGCUCUCAUUCACCUGUAUCAAUGCACAUUGCAACACACAGAGAAACAGGCAGGGUUAUGUGUGGCACUGCUAAAAAGCUCAUAUCUGCUUAUAGGCAAGCAUUACAGAGAAUUGGCACGCGAGUGUACACCGUAAAGUGAAACGAUUAAUCUGCCAACUUCCAGCCUGUCUAGAUUCAGAGUAGCAGAGUGCCCAGACCAGCACAAAACGUGCAACGUCUUGGUCCUGUAGUUCUACUGAAAAUGCCAUCACGUAGCGGAUAGGCAGCUCACCGUGGAUAGCCGGCCAACACUGAGACUGCAUGGCCAUACGAAGGGUGUGAAACCGUGGGCACUGGGCGGCUGUCACCUGACAUCGGAGAUAGGAGCUGCACUUAGACAUGCGUGCCUCGGGCUAUGCGAUGUCACCUUCUGCAGCGAAACGAAUAGUGGAGAACAGCAGCAACGCACAACACACUUGAAGCCUGAUCAUUACAUUGAAACGUGGCACGCAGAGUGAUGACUUAGGGGAGUGCCGGGAAAAUCUUAUCCUACCACUCUGCCAUCGCCCCAUAAGGUGGUUUUCAACAACGUCACCAACUGUCACAUCUUCAUUGUGCCAUGUUCCAGCGCUUCGCAAGCAGCUAACCACUCAAGCUCUCUACCGCCAGUGACAAACAUCAGCAGCGGGAUGGCAUCGCGCAUGUGGUCUCGGCACACCGGAGCGUAUAAAUGAGGCGAAGGAAGUUAGCAAACCCAUGCUGAUUGUUGCACCGGACUCGAGCAAUGCCUCCGGACGCGCUUCAACAAACGCGUCGACCUACAGCGGUGCCGGCUACCUUGUGUUUUCAGAUCCGCACUGUUCACACCAGCAGAAGAAAUUCGCUGCGAAUGUCGGGCACAUGCUUCCACCAAAAAGCCCAUGCUGUAGGAUAUUAUAGGUGUACACAAUGUCAUAGUGAUGCGAGCGCGGCAGUGUUGGCCCCUGGCUUCAGGGGAGCUUCCCCUCAUGGCCCAAUUAUUAACGAGAACGGACACAUGUAUUCUCAAGUCCGUUUUAUCCGUAGCAUUCUAUUACAGCAUGCCUUGACACAUGACCCAAAAUGCAGAAUUUUGUCCAUUUUCAAAAUUAUAAUGUAACUAUGUCAGAAUGUCUCCUUUCAUCUCCCCAGCAUGAUAAUAUAUAGACGACUUUGGUGUGUAUUGCGGACACCCGUAUUGAACGCAGUACAUGCGCGAGAUGUACAUCUUGAUGUGAGUUUAUGCCAUUCUUGAACGGUUUUGACAUUCUUGCACACGCCAUUAGGCUGUGUCCACCAAGUGUAUGUCUUGAUGACACACCAUUGGUGAUUUAAACAUUCGUAUUUUGCCUCGUUUCUGUUCAUUAGCGAGUCAUUGUGAACCGAG